AAAAAGGUAAGCUAAGUUU
rnacentral:tRNA from 1 species